UUCCAUCUGGAGAAUCUGGAGACAGGUGCUGCAUGGCUGUCGUCAGCUCGUGUCGUGAGAUGUUGGGUUAAGUCCCGCAACGAGCGCAACCCUUGCCUUUAGUUGCCAGCAGCGUCGGCUGGGACACUCUAAAGGGACUGCCGGUGUUAAACCGGAGGAAGGUGGGGAUGACGUCAAGUCCUCAUGGCCUUUAUGACCAGGGCUACACACGUACUACAAUGGCCGAUACAAAGGGCAGCGACACUGCGAGGUGAAGCCAAUCCCGUAAAAUCGGUCUCAGUCCGGAUUGGAGUCUGCAACUCGACUCCAUGAAGUUGGAAUCGCUAGUAAUCGUGGAUCAGCAUGCCACGGUGAAUACGUUCCCGGGUCUU
rnacentral:rRNA from 1 species